rnacentral:rRNA from 1 species
GAGUUUGAUUCUGGCUCAGGAUGAACGCUGACAGAAUGCUUAACACAUGCAAGUCAACUUGAACUUCGGUUUGGGUGGCGGACGGGUGAGUAACGCGUAAAGAACUUGCCUCACAGUUAGGGACAACAUUUGGAAACGAAUGCUAAUACCUAAUAUUAUGAUUUUAGGGCAUCCUAAAAUUAUGAAAGCUAUAUGCGCUGUGAGAGAGCUUUGCGUCCCAUUAGCUAGUUGGAGAGGUAACGGCUCACCAAGGCGAUGAUGGGUAGCCGGCCUGAGAGGGUGAUCGGCCACAAGGGGACUGAGACACGGCCCUUACUCCUACGGGAGGCAGCAGUGGGGAAUAUUGGACAAUGGACCAAGAGUCUGAUCCAGCAAUUCUGUGUGCACGAUGAAGUUUUUCGGAAUGUAAAGUGCUUUCAGUUGGGAAGAAAAAAAU